AAGAAUCCAAUAAAGAUAUAUGUUCGGAGCAUUCAAAAGAUCAGAAACGGGUCCACUCUUGUUAUCCCUUAGGCUAAACCGAGCUUCUCUGUGUUCAGUGGAGUCCUAAAAGAUUUGAUGAUAGGAUAAAGUUGCAAAUUCACAACAAUGCAGAUCCCUCAUCAAGCUAGAGCCUCAACUCAAGGUCCAUCAACAAAAAACGCAGAUUAAUGCCAUCAUCAAACUCCAGCAAACACAAAUCACCCCAGAUCAUUCAUGUUUGAAGGCCAUUUAAAGUUUAAGGCUGUCAGCAGGGGUUGUUUCAGUGAUCGGCCGCUCAUGGUUGAGUGGCAUCAGGAGGAGGGAUGGUCGCAAAAUGGAGAUCAACUGCAGAUUACUGUUGGUGGUUGGUGACUAAUUCCAACACAGACAAGUGCAAACAAUGGUCAGGCAGUAGCCUCAGUGACCAAAGGUCCAGCGACUUCACCAGCAUGGUUGUCUUAGUCUUUUGGUGUGAUCUGGUACCUCUUUUUUGUUUAUUCCUUUUGGUGUGUUUCACUUAUUUGCAUGAAUUUCAGGUUUGGGCUUGUGGUUUCCAGUCAGAGGUUCUACAUUAUUUUUCUAAUUCUGCUUUUUCCCUCCUCUUCGGGCACAUGAAUUGAAGGCUUUGAACUAACAUUCAUGGUGAUUCUAUUAUUUUUGGACCAACUUAUGUUGGAGGGUCAUGUUCUUAUGCUCCACAGACUUCCUCUUGAAUCUAGAGGUGGAUCGCAGAUUCACAAAUCACAAUGGUUUUCUCAACUGGUAGAUUCAGGAUUGACUUGUGGUCAUUGCAGUGAGUUUUCUUUCUUCCCUUAUUGGAAGGCAAUUCGGCAGUUCUUCACCUCUGCUCAAUUUGGUCUUGCUUCUCUUUCUUUAUCCCAGCAGCCUUGCCAUCAUAUCCACCAGUGCAAGUGAAUCUUCCAUAGAGAAGCUGUUACCUAACAGAUAUUUUUAACAUGGAUCUGAAGCAACUAGAAUUAUUCAUGUGAAUCAAAGACGAACCACCUAUUUCUGUUAACAACUUGUAAUAUAAUAGAUCUGAGAGUGAGACUAAGCACAAGCAUUGAAUGCUAACAGUUCUCUGAGGUUGGGGAGAAACUUGUGGAAAAAUGGAGGGGUUCAACUUUAGUAAGAUCCGACAAAGCAAUGACAUGGUGGAUCUUGGAGCUCCUAUCAGAAAUGGAUACAGACAGAAAAGCUGCACGAUUUCUACAAGGGAUGUGGAUGAGGUGGGUUAACCCACGACAGCUAUAGCUUGUACCCUUCUAGCUGCUUGAAUGUGUUGACUGACAUACUUAGCAUACUUUAAAUUCUAGUUUCUACGUAAGCUAUGAAAUACAAGAUGAAAGAUGGAAGGAAACAGGCUGCAUGCAACAUCCACAGCCUCCAAAAAGAAGUUCAACACACUAUGACGACAAAAAGUAAAAUCUCGGGUAGGAUUUUUCACCUGAACAACAUAAACCACAGCAUUAAUUGUGUAGAAGCUUGGUCUCAGACCAUCAGUAGAUACAGCGCGUGCCUGCAAAACAUGUCAAGUUGGUAAGAAGCCAAUCAAAAUAGCAAUACCCAUUAAAGAUAUAGCAUAUUCAGCAGAAACCAAACAACUUGCCUGAUAGUAAAUCUCAGCCCAGAACAGAACCAAAAGGGCAUACGUUGUAAAGAAAGCAAGACUGGGCAUGUCAAGUAAGAUAUGUUGCACAAUCUACACACAGAUACACAAAGUUAUUUUUAUCA